UAUCAGUCAUGCAUAGCAUAUCAAUAAGCGGAGGAAAAGAAACCUAACAAGGAUUCCCUUAGUAACGGCGAGUGAAGCGGGAAGAGCUCAAAUUUGAGAUCUUCAAGGUUUUACCUUGACGAAUUGUAGUUUAAAGAAGUGUUUUCUGUUGAAGUUUUGGUAAAAGUUCUUUGGAAUAGGACAUCAUAGAGGGUGAGAAUCCCGUAUUUGACCAUUACUUUCAGCUUUGUGAUACACUUUCAAAGAGUCGGAUUGUUUGGGAAUGCAGUCCAAAAUGGGUGGUAAAUUUCAUCUAAAGCUAAAUAUUGGCGAGAGACCGAUAGCGAACAAGUACCGUGAGGGAAAGAUGAAAAGAACUUUGAAAAGAGAGUUAAACAGUACGUGAAAUUGUCAAAAGGGAAGCGUUUGACACCAGUGUUGUUUUCUCGAAAAUCAAUUAAAAAGAGUUGGAUUUUGUGUUGUAUUGACUUUAUCAGCUUUCUUCACUCUUUUCCAGCUUUUUUUAAUGCACUUUUCGUUUAACAAGUCAACAUCAGUUUCUUUUGUUGUAAAAAGGUCAUUGGAAGGUGGCUUUCUCUUCGGAGAAAGUGUUUAUAGCCUUUGACUCAUGCAAUCGGAGAGACUGAGGUCUGCAGCGUAGAUCCUUCGGGGUUAGAUACAUUUGUGCUAAGUUAUAGCUUUUCAUAGACAACUUGUUGACUAUGUUUAGUCUUGUAGCUUACUCGCUUAUGCUAUUUUACCUACGCUUAGGAUGUUGAACUCUAUCACACACAG
rnacentral:rRNA from 1 species